rnacentral:lncRNA from 1 species
UUGAACUUUUCAUGGAGAACAUUAAUCAAUUCUCAUCUCUUUUAAUUUCCCAGACUGCUUUGGAAAUAAAGAUGAAUAACUGGUGAUCACUCGCACUUCUUGUGAGGAAGCAAACCUGAAAGUAGAAUCAUCCAUCUGGGGUUGAAUGCAGAUGAUGGAACGUGACAGGAAGGGCUCAAGAUCAUAUGUUCCCUCAAGUGAGGUGAAAACAAGACAAAAAACCCCAAUCAGCUUCAAACAUGACAAAGAGAGGAUGUGACAAGGAUGCUAGGAUUCAGCAGGAAGGGGGUACAGUACUUGCUGUGGGAACUUGGAGACUUCUGAACAUCACAAGCUGAGAAGGUUUCAUGAGGCCACUGGGAGAAGUAAGGAGGCAACAAGUCAUUCCAUUUUCCGUGGUAGGCGCUUUUUGAUAAUGAAAUUAACGUAGGAAAUAAUAUCUUAAAUAUUUAAGGC